CACUCGAAUCGGCGUCUGAGCUUACCUUUGUUAGUCAUAGCAUCAUAUAAGAGCCUCAUCAAAACAAAUGCGGACAGGGUAUGUACAUAAAAACAUAGAGUGAUGAUAUAUGUGCAAAUUACAUAUCACAUAUAAAUAGAAAUAAUAAAUCAAAUAUGAAUAGAACUAAUAAAACAUUUAUGCAUUGCUACUUUGCGAUAAAAAUGUAAUACGUUUAUGAAAUUUUAACAAGCUGCUACGUCUAAUACAUGAUUACAUUGGAAUUCAAUUGGAAAAUUAUAUGUAGGUAUAUAUAUAAAUAAACUAUAUGUGGAAGUAAUAUUCUGGUUCGCUAAAAUUCGUAUUAAAUUUUAAUUAAAUGUUAAUUUAUUAUUUUAUCAUGAAUUGGUUAAAUAUCACAUUCAAUAGCAAAGUCGGCAUUAAUGCACUUGAUAGUAUAAAAUAUAAUAACAUAACAUAUUAUGAAUUUAAAAUCAGUACCCCUAGAUUCUUCUAAGUUAACUCAAAUGCGAUAAAAAAAAGAGGUACCUGCAAGAACUUGCUGAUACUGAUCAGUUAAUACCGCGGCGUCAAGUAAUGUUAUAGAUAUUUUUGAAAUAUCGCACGUUGCUGUUUACUAUUGGAGAAGUGAACCUUACGAAUACACACAGUGGAAUGAAACGCAUGAAAUUUUGCCGUUAAAGAAAAGAUGAACUACGCAUACGUAGGUUUCGACUAAGAUAUUAUUUUACGAAUAUAUUUCCGUGGGAAAUAACCACAUGUCGAAUUUCCUUCAGCAUUAUAUUGAUCACUUACUCGUCUUCUCGGGAGCAGGUGAUGAAUUAUGAGUGUAUCGAUGGCAGUAUGUGCUACCUUACUCCGUUUAUAUUAUUAAGCAAUUUGCAUGGCAAUUUUCUUUGGCAAAGAAAAAUGAUACAAUUUUAUAUAAUGUUAUAUGAUUAUAUAAUUCGCAAGUGCUUCUAUGCAAGAUGAGGUUUCACGAAUCGUCACAAAAUAGUUUGCAGUCAACCGUAACUCGAGAAACUCAGGAUUAUUUAUAAAAUGAGUAUCUCCGUCCAAGAACGGUACUUCAGCUGGAAUAGAAUUUUAUUACUCGCUGUUGGCUUAUGGCCUUAUCACCAAUCAAGGUUUGCUCGAUUUCAGGCAGCGUUGUGUCUUAGUAUUUUGACAAGCUUCGUCGUAUUCGUGCUUUCAAGACUUUAUUUUACAGAAUACUCCUUUGAAUUUACUAUUCAUUUGCUUUCUAUAUCAAUGUAUUAUACUUUCUUUGUUAUUAAUCAUAUCGCCUUUUGGAUUAAUAUAGAAACUGCAAGAAAUUUAUUGGAGCAAUUUCAAUACAUCUACAAGAGGCUAAAGGAUGCGAAAGAAAUUGCUAUCUAUAACAAAUAUGGGAACUUUGCAAACCGAAUAACGCUCUCCUGCAUAAUACUUGCAGUAUGCAGUGCGUUUAUUAUUACUGCAAUAGAAUAUUGGCCAAUCAUUUUUGAUAUGAUUAUGCCCAAAAAUGAGACCCACGCGCGCCGUUUCAUAGUAACUGUGACUAAAUAUUUCGCCCUACAAGAAAAAUAUUUCUAUGUAUUUAUUCUAUUUAUGAACGCAGUUCAUAAUAUAGGAACAGUUGGAAUCUUAGCGACAGGAACAAUGCUAUUAUCAUGUCUCAAACAUAUCUCUGGAAUAUUGAGAAUUGCUAGCUACCGCUUUGAACACGCAAUAACAGCUACGUUACAAAGUAUUACCAUAAAAAAUGAAACUAUGAAUUACAAGGAGUUUAUCUAUGCCGUGGACAUUCAUCGCAAAGCUAUGGAGUAUCAUUAUAAACAUAAAAUAGUUCGCAUCAAUGCAGAGAACGAGAACUAAUAGGAAUUACAAUUUUAAUACUAAUUGUUGCCGUUUGAGACAAUUAUUGUAGUUAAUUUAAAAAAUGUAGUUAAAUAAACAUGAUGAAACAUAAAAUUAAAAGGUGUGCCAAAUUUGGUGUAGACGGCAUGGAACGAUCAUUUUUCGUUAUUACAAUGAUUACUGUUCUUUGUAUGAGUUUGAAUCUUUAUGGA
rnacentral:misc_RNA from 1 species